UUCAGGUUGUGCUGCCAAAUAUAAUGCACCAGUAACACUACUGGCGACACAUUACCAAGUACGGAUAUUAUAAUUUCACUUGUGAACAGGAAUUAAGACCUUCUGGUUUACUGCAAGCUAAAUAAUGUUUUCAGAUCCAUAUGACAAAGGCGAGCCUCCAAUCGUUAUAAACAACCCGUUAACCAACCCAAACGACGUUUCUGUUGAUUGCUGGAGUGGGUGCCCUGGUAUGACCACUGAUUCCACUCACAGACUGUACGAAGAAACAUUGGUCAAGCUAAAUAUAUAAGAACGAUGGUUCGGGCGAUGUCGGCACAGUUAAACUGAUAGAUCAGCUCUCCUGUCUAAUCAGCGGACUGCUUGAAGUGGAAUACGUUACCUCUAGGCGAGGUACACAACAGACCAGCCAGCUUCAUCGAAGAGAAGGACUCUAAAAGGUGUUUUUCCUUCUCAACAAACUGCUCAUAAACUCGGUGUAGCGGACGUUAAGUGAGCCUUCCCUAGCCAAAGUGAGCCUCUACAGUUUCGAUAUGAAAAUUAGCCUGGUUGACAGCCACUUCUGUAAAGUCCAGGAGUAUAGAACACCUACAUGGUAAUAUAGAACAAACUUUAUGGAUAACAACAUGUCACGUCCAAUGUGUGUGUGUGUGUGU